rnacentral:rRNA from 1 species
GAUGAACGCUGGCGGCGUGCCUAAUACAUGCAAGUCGAGCGAAUGGAUUGAGAGCUUGCUCUUAUGAAGUUAGCGGCGGACGGGUGAGUAACACGUGGGUAACCUGCCCAUAAGACUGGGAUAACUUCGGGAAACCGGGGCUAAUACCGGAUAACAUUUUGAACCGCAUGGUUCGAAAUUGAAAGGCGGCUUCGGCUGUCACUUAUGGAUGGACCCGCGUCGCAUUAGCUAGUUGGUGAGGUAACGGCUCACCAAGGCAACGAUGCGUAGCCGACCUGAGAGGGUGAUCGGCCACACUGGGACUGAGACACGGCCCAGACUCCUACGGGAGGCAGCAGUAGGGAAUCUUCCGCAAUGGACGAAAGUCUGACGGAGCAACGCCGCGUGAGUGAUGAAGGCCUUCGGGUCGUAAAACUCUGUUGUUAGGGAAGAACAAGUGCUAGUUGAAUAAGCUGGCACCUUGACGGUACCUAACCAGAAAGCUACGGCUAACUACGUGCCAGCCGCCGCCGUAA